rnacentral:rRNA from 1 species
CUUAAAACCCAAAGGACUUGACGGUACCCCAUAUCCUUCUAGAGGAGCCUGUUCUAUAAUCGAUAAUCCACGUUUAACCUCACCAUUUUUAGUUAAUCAGCCUGUAUACCUCCGUCGUCAGCUUACCACGUGAGCGCAAACUAGUGAGCCUAAUGUUUUUACACCAAUACGUCAGGUCAAGGUGCAGUAAAUGAAAUGGGAAGAGAUGGGCUACACUUUCUACUAUAGAAGAAACGAAAAACUACCUAUGAAAUCUAGUUGGAAGGCGGAUUUAGCAGUAAAAAGGAAUCAGCAUGUCCAUUUUAACUCGGCACUGGGGUGUGU